UUCGUCAUGCCAUCAAAGUAUGGUGUUAACUUGCCACUGCCUAAAGAUUCCUGUGAGACAAUUAAAGAGGUGCCCAGAAAAAUAGUUGUUGUAGUUGCCUUUUCAGUGUUCAAGACAACCCAAUGACAAUGAUUGUGGAUAUUAUAUGUGUCGAUAUAUGAAAGAAAUUAUCACAUGUGAAGGAGGAACAAUUUCAACUAAGUAUUUUUCUAAUUGCAGAUAUCAACAAUAUUGUGACAAUCAAAUUAUUGAAGUUAGGAAAGAUUGACGUUUACAUAUAAUUAGUACAUGUUUAUAGGUUGUUAGGGUGAUGUACAUAUGUAUUAAUAGGAUAUGUGUUAUGGUUGUAUAUACGUUUUAUAAAACAAUGUCAUGUCAUAACAUGUACUUGACGAAUUAAUGAUUACAUUUUGAAAUA